AACUUGUUCAGUAGGUGAAGUUCAAUACAUUUCAACCUUCAGUACGUACUGAAGGUUGAAAUGUAUUUAACAUCACCUACUGAA
rnacentral:pre_miRNA from 1 species